rnacentral:rRNA from 1 species
GAUGAACGCUGGCGGCGUGCCUAAUACAUGCAAGUCGAGCGAACAGACGAGGAGCUUGCUCCUCUGACGUUAGCGGCGGACGGGUGAGUAACACGUGGAUAACCUACCUAUAAGACUGGGAUAACUUCGGGAAACCGGAGCUAAUACCGGAUAAUAUAUUGAACCGCAUGGUUCAAUAGUGAAAGACGGUUUUGCUGUCACUUAUAGAUGGAUCCGCGCCGCAUUAGCUAGUUGGUAAGGUAACGGCUUACCAAGGCAACGAUGCGUAGCCGACCUGAGAGGGUGAUCGGCCACACUGGAACUGAGACACGGUCCAGACUCCUACGGGAGGCAGCAGUAGGGAAUCUUCCGCAAUGGGCGAAAGCCUGACGGAGCAACGCCGCGUGAGUGAUGAAGGUCUUCGGAUCGUAAAACUCUGUUAUUAGGGAAGAACAAAUGUGUAAGUAACUAUGCCCGUCUUGACGGUACCUAAUCAGAAAGCCCCGGCUAACUACGUG